UUGGAGGGCAAGUCUGGUGCCAGCAGCCGCGGUAAUUCCAGCUCCAAUAGCGUAUAUUAAAGUUGUUGCAGUUAAAAAGCUCGUAGUUGAAUUUCGGGAUCAGAUUGUCGGUCGUGCCUCGGUACGCACUGGUACUAUUGGUUCCUACCUUCUGAAGAACCGCGAUGUCAUUAAUUUGGUGUCGUGGGGAAUCAGGACUGUUACUUUGAAAAAAUUAGAGUGUUUAAAGCAGGCUUACGCUUGAAUACAUUAGCAUGGAAUAAUGAAAUAGGACGUUUGUUUCUAUUUUGUUGGUUUCUAGGAUUGACGUAAUGAUUAAUAGGGAUAGUUGGGGGCAUUAGUAUUCAAUUGUCAGAGGUGAAAUUCUUGGAUUUAUUGAAGACUAACUACUGCGAAAGCAUUUGCCAAGGAUGUUUUCAUUAAUCAAGAACGAAAGUUAGGGGAUCGAAGACGAUCAGAUACCGUCGUAGUCUUAACCAUAAACUAUGCCGACUAGGGAUCGGAUGAUGUUAAUUUUUUAAUGACUCAUUCGGCGCCUUACGGGAAACCAAAGUGUUUGGGUUC
rnacentral:rRNA from 1 species